rnacentral:misc_RNA from 1 species
CCGGCGUGGCUGCGGAAUGUCACGAUGACCCUCACGA